UCUGGGUGUCAGGUAUUUUGUCUCAGCAACAAGAGAAAAGUAACCAAGACAUUGCUGUUAUCAAAAAAGAAGAUCAAAUGUGCUGGGAGAGACACAGGAAAAAGGGAAGGCUCCUGCACUGUUGUGGGAAUGUAAAUCCACACACCAUGGUGGAAAAGAGCAUGGCGUUCCUCAGAAUGUCAAAAAACAGAAUCUCCUUACGAUCCGUCAGUUCUGCUCCUAGGUGCAUAUCCAAGGAAGUACAUCGGCAUGUUCACUGCAGCACCAUUCACAAGAGCCAAGAAAGGGGAAAACCUGUGUCCACCAACCGAUGCGUAGACACAGGAAACAAUACUCAGCCAUAAACGUGACAGAAUCACACCACCUGCAGCACGGUGGGUGGAAACGGAGAUCAUUCCUGUACCUAAGUGAGGAGAUCAUUCCUUUACCUAAGUGAGGAGAUCAUUCCUUUACCUAAGUGAGGAGAUCAUUCCUUUACCUAAGUGAGGAGAUCAUUACUUUACCUAAGUGAGGAGAUCAUCAUUACUUUACCUAAGUGAAGUGACCCGGGCAUGGAAGUCAAGCACCACAUGAUGUGGGAUGAUGUCUAGCUGAUCUCACAGAAGUAGAGGGCAGUUAGAGAGCAGGGGUGGCAGGGCUUUUAUCUAGGUGUCCCCCCAAAGCCUCCUGUGCUGCAGGUGGGGCACUGGCAGUGACUGGACUGCGGGUGUGUGAUAGUGGAUGGGUCCACUGAUGGGUUACAGCUGGCGUGAUGUGGGGAGGUGACGCUGGUGGGAAGAGGGGUCCCUGUGGUGUGGCCUGGAAGGGGGGUACAUACACGCACAUGUCCCUCCUUCCCCUUGAUGCUGCUCUGUUUCUCGCCUUCCAUGCCAUGGACUGAUUCUCCUCUGCGGUGACCCUCCGCCAUGCCAGCCCGCCUUGGAGCCAGCCCACUGUGGACUGAAACCUGUAGAAACUGUGAGCCAAAUGAACCUCUCCUCCUUUACCUGACGGGGGUCAGGCAUUCUGUCCUCGCAACAUGAAAACGAAGCCGAGGGGAGAGGAAGGAUGGAUAGAGGGCUCACAGCAAAGAGCUUGCCUUGGGUCUCAAGGAGACUCUGGACUUGGACAUGUCAGCAAUGUUGGAAAUGUUAAGUCUCUGUGACGCCUACAGAAGAACUAAAAGCAUGCCUCAUAUGGAGACAGAGAGGUGUCUUUUGGGGCCCAGAGGCAGAAUAUCAUGGUUUGCAUCUGAAGUGUACCCAAAAGUGUCCUGUCCUCACAAGUGCAGCUUUUGGAAGGUGGCUGCAUCACAGGGACAGGGUGCCCAUCGGUCAGUGAGCCCCAGACGAGCUCACAGCUCAAUGUGCUGCUCGGAGUGUCGCACAGGCUGAGCUGUGCAAAGCAGAGCCCUACAAGGAGCCUCUCACUCUGAGGUGCCCACGUCCAGUAUCCUGUCCCGGAUCAGGAAGGUGACAACACGACCGUAUGACUGCAGGGCUGACCAGGAGCCGCAGUUCUCCACCCUGCCCCCCGCAGCACAUGUCAAGAGCCCGAGGGGCUGGGGAUUUAGCUCAGCGGCACAGCGCCUGCCUGGCAAGCGCAAGAUCGUGAGUUCGGUUCCUGGAACCAGAAAAAAACCAUGUCAAGAGCCUGGCAAAAUGAAGUAUCCACAUGUGCAGUACAGUUCCUACGGCUGAGCCCUUGUGCUGCUGAAAACCUACCUGGAAUGGUGACAGGCAUCAUGCAGCCAUCCUCAAAGCCCCAGGCCAAGUCCAGCCUCCUCUGGGACGCUCACAGCUGCGGAUCUGGAGCAGAGCUCAGAGCAAAGCCCUCCGUCCUGGCAGCCUGGCGAUGUGGGAGGUCCAGGCUGCAAGUAGAUGGCCCCAGUAAACACCAGGAAGACCAGUACACAUGCUCUGGGCCACAGAGUCACGCAGCUAAGCGCUCCUUGUUUGCAAAUCCACACCAAAUUAUGGAGAGAAGUGCACCAGCCCACGGUGGACUUUCCACAGUGCAUUUUUAAUCAUGCGCCGAUCCCUCAGAAACCAUGUAUCCCUGCUACUCUAUCUCCAGCACCAACAGGUUGAAGAAGGGGUCCGCAGGAGCGUUUCUGCAAAGUGCCAUUGCCACAAGCUGCACAGAGUGGCUUCUUGGGCUGCGCCUGGGGAGGCCCAGCUGUGUGAGCCCAGGUGACAGCUGCAGAACACAGACCCGUCCGCCCCCUCCCUGAUCUUGGUGGUCUCUGACACCGUUCACAGAUGAUGUUUCAGUGUGUGCCCUUCCAGCAUUUGCCCCGCGCCCUGCUCAUGCGCAAGCACCCACUCACCUGUGGCAGGCUGCUCUGGGGACCCAGGCGGCACACAGGGAACUGGUGAUUUACGCCACCGCAGGCUCAAGGCGGCAAACACCUGGCUGUCCAGCCAGGCCCAAGGCAGGGUGGUUCAGGAAUGUGGCGACCCUUGGUGGUGACAAGCACUCCUCGCUUUGUCCUUGCUAAGGACCCGGCUCUGAGCUCACUGUGUGUCACUCACUUUGCAAACAUUUUCACUGAACGGGCAUCACCUUGGCAUGAGGCACACAAGGGUGACAAAAGCCAGAGUUGACCCCAGUUGCUUUAGAACUUCUGGUCUAGGAAAGUCACACAUCUAUUAGUUCCUCUCGCAAGGGCAGGAAAGAUCAGCCUCUGGGAUAGGUUUCCCAAAGAACCCCACGUGAUCCCAGAGGAACACGAAACACGGGAGCUGCUCUGUGGAGGGGCUGGCAGGGCAGGUUCCUGCAUAAAGGAAGCUGCAGAGGAACCUGGAAUUAACUAGCAGUGCAGCAGAGGAAGGGCUGGGAAUGGAGGAUAACUGAGGAGAAAUAACCUGCACAUUUGUGGUCUCAGGCUUAACCCAGGGGAGCCCAGGGAAGGCUCUGCCCUAGAAGGGCGGCCAGGGCACAUGUUUCUGACUAAGCUGACUCUUGGUGAUGGCCAACAAGAGGUGCUGGGGAGGACAGUGGCUGAAGGGAGGCUGGGAGACGGGUCUGGAAGACAGGUCGCCACCAUGCAGGGAAAGACCACACAGGCUAGGAGCAGACUGGGCUGAUGGUGGGGGACGGGGUCUAGCUGGAAGGCACGUAGUACAGUCAGAGGCCUCAAGGGACAGGGCCUCUCAAGGAUGGUUCUGGAGGGACAACUCUUCCAACAUGAGCCAGGAGACGGCUGGGUGGGGGGACAGGCAGACCGCAGUGGUGGAGGCGUUGAGCUGGAUCAUGCAUGAUUUAUCACUGCUGUCACCAUUAUUAUUACAGGGAAAUUCUGUUCUAUAAAAUGCUGCCUUACUCACAGCCCUACUGGAUUCUGGCAACAGUUCCAUGUGAUUCAGCAACAUGGAGACUUAAUUUGGAUGGAAGGAUCCACUAUGUAACAAUGGACAACUAGUCUACCUGCUGCACAUGGGCAGAGCCAGAGCCCCAGUCCCUCCCUACCCUUUACCCUGCGAGGCUCUCAGCCUCCCUGGGGUGGCUGCAGCUGCAGCCAACCCCCUCAGCCCACACCCCAGCUGCAUAAGAUUAAGUAAUGGGCUACACAAUGAAGAGCUCACCACCCGCUUCCUGAAGUACUGAGAAUUGAACUUGUGGACACUCCAACACUACCCAGCCCUUUCUAUUGCUUAUUUGCAGACAAGGUCUCACUAAGUUGCCAAAGCUAGCCUUGAACUUGUGACCCUCUUGCCUCAGCCUCCAGAGUAGCUGUGAUUACAACCAUGAACCCCGGAGGCUCAGCAAGAGAAUUUUAAGUACUGCAUGACCCUGGCUACGGUGGAGUUAUGUUUUUUCCUUUCCUUUCUAAGAAGAUUAGUCUCAUGGUGUUGCCCAGCCUGGUCUUCAACUCCUGGGCCCAGGGAUCCUCUCAGCCUUCAGAGAAGCUGGGACAAAAGAAUUGAGAAUUCCUCAAAACCUGCCACGUUACAAAACCCUGGGCUUUCAUGGUCACCUCAUUCCAGGUGUUUGUCACCAGCUAGCACUGUCCCUGCUUGAGGCUUAGACUCGCUGGAUAACUCACUGGCAGCCAGGAUGUGGAGCUGGCUGUUUUUCCAGUGGUUCUGUGCUUUGUUUUUGCUUGUUUAAGUCAGGGUCUUGCUAGGACUUUGUGCUCUUGAUACAUACAGGUGCAGGGCAUGGCAGGGGAAAGCGGAGUGACAGACGUCACAUGAGGUCAGCAGCGGCUCCUCCCCUCCUGUUGGCACCGAGACCCUGGGAGACGGAGUGGCUUGCUUUCUACCUUAAUUAGUGCAGCAAUUUGCUAAAUUUUGUUUUUCCCUUUUUAAGAGUGUUAAUCAAUUUCAGCUCAGAAUAGAUUGGAAUGGCAAGCAAAUUACCACGCCAGUCCCCAAAUGCUAAAUUCUGAACAUCUCGAUCAACCUUGGAGCCGGAAAAAUAGGAAACCAGAAGCUCGGGCCAGUGUCUCCACCAGCCAGUUAAAAUGUGACGGCUCUGAAAUGAAAAGAUAAUGGGCGGAUGGGGUCUGGAGCAUCCGGUCUGCCUGAAUCAGCCUUGUGCCCGGUCCCUCCCAAGGGGACUGCAGACCCCGGGCAGGGGCACGUGUGCACAGUGGUGCCUUCUCUACCAGGAGCAUGGGGUUGUGCUGUGCCCACACGCAGUACCAGCACCUACUGUGCACCAGCAGUGCAGGAAAGAGUGAGACACGCCCCCUUCCCCACCUCCCGAGGAAGCUUCCAGUGGAUGGUCAAGGCAACAGACAUUUCCUCUUUCCUGGAGAAGCAGGACUAUCCCCAGAGGAGGUGGGAACACACCCAUCAGGAAGGGCAGGUAAGACGCAGGACAGGGCGAGAAGGCCCAGCCUGUGCAGGCUCACCCAGAGAGAGGGGCCACCGAGAGCCAAGCGACAGGGAAACGUGCGGCACAGCGAGCGGUGAGCGUGGAACCCAAGUCCAGAGCCGGCACGGACAGGCCUUCUGGGUGAGCCAGGACCCGGCCCAGACACAGCCAAGGCGGCGAGCACAGGAGGAAUUGGUUCCUUUGGGGAAACCCUUUAGUAUGUAUUCGGCAUCAGCUCGUUAUGCACGCUCACACACAUUCUUUCACUUGAGCCUCUUAAUUACCCAUGAGUGAGAAUUCUAAUCACUACUAAUGAGUAAACAGGGCUCACAGACAGAGUUCACUUAGAGUCUUGCGAUCAGUAAUGAGAACACCCCAGUUCCACCCCAGGCCCGCCAGACCGCGUUCCAGCCAGCACACACUUCCCUGGGUGAGGGAACCUCUGGACUUCGACCACGGCCACAUUGAGACACCGGGAACCCAGGGCCUCAGUGUCUACAAAGAGCCUCCUGCUGGCAGGGCGGCCUGGAGCAGCAUGGACGCAUGCCCAGAGAGGUCUCGUUAUCACCUCUGAUGACCACAUCAGACACCCUGUUAAGUGCCAGACGCCUGCAGUUAGGAGCUGGGGCUUCCGCCACCACCAGCCUGCUCAGCCCCGGGGAAGGAAGUCAGAGCAGCCCCGUGUGGCCCCCACCAGCCCUCCAGCCCCAGCU